UUCACUAACAUCCUUAGGGACAUAAGACCGUGGAGUAAGUGAAAGGGGCUGCUUAAAGGUGUACGCACCUGACAAGUCAGGCGCCAUCCCAUUACUACUCUUUACAUUUACAGUGGCAUUAGGGAAUAUUCUGGCUACUGAUUCAGGGUUUUCAGGGUUUAUAGCUCUUAUCCCUUCCUGCUCGGAGUUCCCCUUUUCUGGGUCACCGUCAGACUGUGCACUGGUGUUCCUGAUACCAAUUCCAGGACUAAAUUCUGAUACACAAGAAUUGGAACCUUCUGAAGUUCCUCUGUGGCUAAUAAUUUCCUUCAAAUCCAACCCCAUUGAAAAUGGUCCAACUUGUGACUCACUGUAUGAUUCGGGGGGAUUCACAACCUCAGCGUCCU
rnacentral:lncRNA from 1 species